AAAAAACUGUCUAUUCAUCGACGUAGCUUGCAUAUUGGAGUUUGGAGAAUUACAUUGGAGAACAUGUUUUCAUCACUAAAAUUUAUAAAAAUUCUCUAACAUGAUGCAUUCUUCAAUAUUCUUUAGAUAGUUCUUUUCUUGGAAAAAAUAUGGAUUUGGAUGGAGUCGUGAAUUAUACAUUCUGAUGUAGGAUAAGCAUACCAAUGUAGUAGAACCAGGAAGAAACCACGAUCAAGAGAAACAAAUUCUCUGGCAAAAAAAUAUAAUUCUCUAGAGAAACAAAUUUUUUUUUUUUUAUUAUUG
rnacentral:misc_RNA from 1 species